rnacentral:rRNA from 1 species
GACGAACGCUGGCGGCGUGCCUAAUACAUGCAAGUAGAACGCUGAAGGAGGAGCUUGCUCUUCUGGAUGAGUUGCGAACGGGUGAGUAACGCGUAGGUAACCUGCCUGGUAGCGGGGGAUAACUAUUGGAAACGAUAGCUAAUACCGCAUAACAGUAGAUGUUGCAUGACAUUUGCUUAAAAGGUGCAAUUGCAUCACUACCAGAUGGACCUGCGUUGUAUUAGCUAGUUGGUGGGGUAACGGCUCACCAAGGCGACGAUACAUAGCCGACCUGAGAGGGGGAUCGGCCACACUGGGACUGAGACACGGCCCAGACUCCUACGGGAGGCAGCAGUAGGGAAUCUUCGGCAAUGGACGGAAGUCUGACCGAGCAACGCCGCGUGAGUGAAGAAGGGUUUCGGAUCGUAAAGCUCUGUUGUAAGAGAAGAACGAGUGUGAGAGUGGAAAGUUCACACUGUGACGGUAUCUUACCAGAAAGGGACGGCUAACUACGUG